GAUGAACGCUGGCGGCGUGCCUAAUACAUGCAAGUCGAGCGAACAGAUAAGGAGCUUGCUCCUUUGACGUUAGCGGCGGACGGGUGAGUAACACGUGGGUAACCUACCUAUAAGACUGGAAUAACUCCGGGAAACCGGGGCUAAUGCCGGAUAACAUUUAGAACCGCAUGGUUCUAAAGUGAAAGAUGGUUUUGCUAUCACUUAUAGAUGGACUCGCGCCGUAUUAGCUAGUUGGUAAGGUAACGGCUUACCAAGGCAACGAUACGUAGCCGACCUGAGAGGAUGAUCGGCCACACUGGAACUGAGACACGGUCCAGACUCCUACGGGAGGCAGCAGUAGGGAAUCUUCCGCAAUGGGCGAAAGCCUGACGGAGCAACGCCGCGUGAGUGAUGAAGGUCUUCGGAUCGUAAAACUCUGUUAUUAGGGAAGAACAAAUGUGUAAGUAACUGUGCACGUCUUGACGGUACCUAAUCAGAAAGCCACGGCUAACUACGUG
rnacentral:rRNA from 1 species